GCUGGGCAUGAUGGCAUAUACCUGUAUUCCCAGCACCCUGGGAGGCUGAGGCAGGAGGAUCACAAGUUUGAGGCCAGCCUCAGCAACUUAGUAAGGCCCUAAGCAACUCAGUGAGAACCUGUUUCUA
rnacentral:sRNA from 1 species